GUGGGGAAUAUUGGACAAUGGGCGAAAGCCUGAUCCAGCCAUGCCGCGUGUGUGAAGAAGGUCUUCGGAUUGUAAAGCACUUUAAGUUGGGAGGAAGGGCAGUAAGUUAAUACCUUGCUGUUUUGACGUUACCAACAGAAUAAGCACCGGCUAACUUCGUGCCAGCAGCCGCGGUAAUACGAAGGGUGCAAGCGUUAAUCGGAAUUACUGGGCGUAAAGCGCGCGUGGGUGGUUCAGCAAGUUGGAGGUGAAAUCCCCGGGCUCAACCUGGGAACUGCCUCCAAAACUACUGAGCUAGAGUACGGUAGAGGGUAGUGGAAUUUCCUGUGUAGCGGUGAAAUGCGUAGAUAUAGGAAGGAACACCAGUGGCGAAGGCGACUACCUGGACUGAUACUGACACUGAGGUGCGAAAGCGUGGGGAGCAAACAGGAUUAGAAACCCCGGUAGUCC
rnacentral:rRNA from 1 species